rnacentral:rRNA from 1 species
GUACUACUCUCAGAGUUUGAUCCUGGCUCAGGAUGAACGCUGGCGGCGUGCUUAACACAUGCAAGUCGAACGAAGCACUUAAGUUGAUUUCUUCGGAUUGAUUCUUAAGUGACUUAGUGGCGGACGGGUGAGUAACGCGUGGGUAACCUGCCUCGUACAGGGGGAUAACAGUUAGAAAUGACUGCUAAUACCGCAUAACCCGCUAGGAUCGCAUGAUCCGGACGGAAAAGAUUUAUCGGUACGAGAUGGACCCGCGUCUGAUUAGCUAGUUGGUGAGGUAACGGCCCACCAAGGCGACGAUCAGUAGCCGGCCUGAGAGGGUGAACGGCCACAUUGGGACUGAGACACGGCCCAA